rnacentral:rRNA from 1 species
GCGUGAGUGAGGAAGGUYUUCGGAUCGUAAAGCUCUGUCGGUGGGAAGAWAUGUGUCAUGGCUAAUAYCCAUGACACWUGACGGUACCGCUAAAGGAAGACCGGCUAACUCCGUGCCAGCAGCCGCGGUAAUACGGGGGGUGCAAGCRRUGWUCGGAAUAUUGGGCGUAAAGAGCGUGUAGGCGGCUGAAUAAGUCAGAUGUGAWWWCUCUGGGCUUACCCAGGACGUGCAUUUGAAACUAUUCAGCUUGAGUAGGGGAGAGGAAAGUGGAAUUCC